rnacentral:rRNA from 1 species
AGAGAGAGACAUGCGCGCAUAUCAAUAAGCGGAGGAAAAGAAACUAACAAGGAUUCCCUUAGUAACGGCGAGUGAAGCGGGAAGAGCUCAAAUUUGAAAUCUUCAAGGUUUUACCUUGACGAAUUGUAGUUUAAAGAAGUGUUUUCUGCUGAAGUUUUGGUAAAAGUUCUUUGGAAUAGGACAUCAUAGAGGGUGAGAAUCCCGUAUUUGACCAUUAUUUUCAGCUUUGUGAUACACUUUCAAAGAGUCGGAUUGUUUGGGAAUGCAGUCCAAAAUGGGUGGUAAAUUUCAUCUAAAGCUAAAUAUUGGCGAGAGACCGAUAGCGAACAAGUACCGUGAGGGAAAGAUGAAAAGAACUUUGAAAAGAGAGUUAAACAGUACGUGAAAUUGUCAAAAGGGAAGCGUUUGACACCAGUGUUGUUUUCUCGAAAAUCAAUUAAAAAUGGCUCGAUUUUGUAUUGCUUGAGACCUUAAAAGCUCACUGUACAUUUUUCGUGUCUUUUUUAAUGCACUUUUCGUUUAACAAGUCAACAUCAGUUUCUUUUGUUGUAAAAGGGUCAUUGGAAGGUGGCUUUCUUUUCGGAGAAAGUGUUUAUAGCCUUUGGCCUCUGCAAUCGAAGAGACUGAGGUCUGCAGCGUAGACUCUUCGGGGUUAGAUACAUUUGUGCUAAGUUAUAGCUUUUUAUAGACAACUUGUUGACUAUAAUUAGUCUUGUAGCUUACUCGCUUAUGCUAUUUUACCUACGCUUAGGAUGUUGAAGAUGUAGCACAUCA